UGUUGUUGGAUCUAAUAGUUAGAUCUAGGAUUUCAGCAUCGAUGAGAUCAAUGUGAGUUUUUGUUUUCAGAUCUAAAGUGUAUAUUUUUCAUAUCAUAAAUCAUGGGAUAGUAGUUUAGAUUAGAUCUUAUAUAUAUGAUUAAGAUUAAAUUAUUUAAUCUUUUUUUUUCGCUGCAUAAAAAUUUUAAAAUUGCAUGUAUAACACUACCGCAUAUUUCCUACAGUACAGAUAUCCUUUCAUAAUUUUUUUAUAUUUAUUUUUUAUUUUAUGU
rnacentral:lncRNA from 1 species